ensembl:lncRNA
CCUGAUUAUACAGCAGCAGUAUUAUCUUGCCCAGAGACCUUGCCUGGAACCCAUUCUCCCUGGUUAAUCUUGUGCCAGUUAUCUCAGGACGAUACUUUGGGAAAAGUUCUGGUGGAAUUCUUACAGCCUUGAGGUCAUACAGACAUUGGCAUAAGGAACUUCACGAGCUUCUUGGAGACUAUUAUUUUCACUGGCAUCCUCGAUCAUCAGGCAAGGACGGCAGAACAAAGGGAUCAGUUACAUGGGAUUGAAUAAACUGCUAAAUAUGAUUACAAUUUUCAUAACUUUUUGUCUGACAUACUACUGGCUUCUAAUCUUUGUUUACAGAUAUAAAGA